CUGGGACUACAGGCGCCCACCACCGCGCCUGGCUAAUUUUUUGUAUUUUUAGUAGAGACGGAGUUUUACCGUGGUCGCAAUCUCCUGACAUCGUGAUCCGCCCGCCUCGGCCUCCCAAAGUGCUGGGAUUACAGGCGUGAGCCACCACCACGCCCGGCCGAGGACGGGGCAGUAUUUUUAAUGACGCUGACAGUGGUGAAGAGGACAGGCCAGCUGUUUUGCAGUAUGUCCCUUAAUGUGGAUUUGUCGUAUUGUUUCCUGAGAACUGCUGUGAUUUCUUAGUGCAUCACCAGGACAUCUAACAUCAUUUGGACCCAUUAUAGAUAUCGAUAAUCUCCAGCCACCAGUCUCUGCCAUCCUAAUCCACAGGCCCACUGCACCCAAACUGCACUCCAACUGACCACUGCUAAAACCUGGCUCUGGCCGGGAUCCUUCCCUCUUCCAAGGACUUCCAGGCUCCCAAGUGCCACAGGAUGCCCUCCAAAUGCCUUCACCUGGUAAUCAAGCCCAAUCACCCCCAAAUUGCCUUUCCCACUCAAGACUCUCCCUGCUUUUAUAAGCUACAAGCUUAGGAUGAAACAUAUGAUCAAUGAACCGUGAAAGCUGCCAACACACGAAAAGAACUUAGUAUAACUACAUAAAAUGGAGACUAAAGUUACUCUGACACAGGGAGUGAUACAUGCAAUCAUCAUUGUGCUAUGUAGUAAUUAUGUUUAAAUGAUUGUAAUUAGUAUUUCCUUUGCGCAGCUAAAACCCAGUUAUUGCUGGGUUUGCUAUCAAGAGCGUGGAGAGAAAACUCAGAGGGUGAAAUUGCUGUGAUGCAGCUCUGAAGAUUUCUGUAUCCAGUCUUGGGGUGGAAUACACAGCCAGCUCCCAACUCUUCUUUAGCAAGAAGUUCUCAGAACAAAGAGUUCCAGGAUUGGGAUCCAUAAAAUUCCAAGAGCAGCAGGAAGCUCCAGAGACAGAAAGACCUGGGUUCAAAUCAUAGCCCUGUAACUCACUAGACAAGUUAUUUACGCAUUUGACAUCCACGAGCCUCAGUUUCCUCCUCUUUCAAAUGGUGACAAAAAUACCUGCUAGUCAUAGCUUGAGGAUGUGGAAUAAGUAAAACAAUGCAUGUAAUGCACUUGGCACAGGCCCGGUGUACAAUAUACACUUCAUCAAUGGCCGGCAUUAUUACCAUCUUCUCCAAGCAGAUUUCAAUGCAGCCCUCCCACUGGUGAAAAUUGGCUGUGUUGAUCACUGGCUCACUUCUCCUCCUGAGAAUCCUGCCUGUGGCUAAGGCUAGGUUAGAAGCAAUGAAAGAACAGCAGUGAGGGAACGAGACAAUGCCAAUCCUUCUGAAGGACAGGCCUCCAUAGGCGUAGUCUCUGGACAGGCGGAAGGCAAUAGAAAAGCUGGGGACGCGGAGGAAGGAAGGGAGGAUGCCGACAAAGGAAAGGCAGAAAGAAGCUCUAAAGACAGACCCGGCUGCGUGAUCACCGCAGCCACAGCUGGCUCCAGCCCUGCUUUCUGCCAAAAUUGGGCUUUAACUCUUUUCAAGGCUCCCAUCUCCCCAGCCUCACUUGCCGUCCUGAGGAUGACGAGGACAAGCCAACAGCUACAGAGAAAGGGGAGUCUGCUCCUAAUGUGGCCAUGAGAAUUCUGAAUCUACUUCCUAUUCAUUCCACAUCUUGUCAUCAAAAGUUUACCCCACACCAGCUAAGCCCAGACACACUCAAGAAGCCGGGUUCAACAGUGGGGCUGACACAAUCUCAGAUGUGGUUUGGGUUACAUAAGACUUUGUGAAGCGAACUGCUUCUAUAGGGAAAUAACUUCCAAGUUCUAAACAAGUAACUUGGAAGAGAACCUCUGAGACGUACAUGUGCAUAGUAAGGAUGUAAACUAAGGACAGGCAUAGCAAGAUAGGUGCAGUAAGGAUUUCUGCUGCUCCUUGGGAGGCGUGGUGUUUUAUUCACCUAUUUGUAUUUGGGGCACAGCAGAAAGCAAUCAAAAGUCUCCAUUGCCACCAGAGGUAAUUGCCUAAAAAGCAAACCCAUUGCUCUUCUGUAUAGAGACUGUGCUGGCUGCCUAUUGCUCACUGGAUGCUGUUUAAAGUCCUUACCAUGCUAUUCAAGAUUGUUCACAAACUGACUUGAUACCUACCUCUCACCUCUAGUCUGCCCCACCUUGCACUUGUCCUAGCCUUUGUCCCUGAGCAUACAAAGUCUCUUCAUAUAGCUAGGCACUUUCACAUGCUUACUGCUUCCUCCCCUGAACUGCCUUUCCCACAGGCCUCCUCUCACUCCUUUGUGGCCUAACAAACUCCUACUCAUCCUUCAAAACCCAGUUUAAAUGUUACCUCCUCACCGAACCAUUUAAGUAGAGACUGUACCUUCCACCUCUGGGUCCCAACACUCUUUGGCUUCCCUAUUUAUCACACAUCACAGAAACUAUCUGGCUUCUUCAUCAGGCAAAGGGUUAGUCCUCUCUGUAACUCUAGCUCUAGUGUAAGGGCCAGUCCUUGUUAGGGCCUCAAUUUUUGUUUGUUGAGUGAAUUGUUAAUGAAAUGAGCAACAUUAUAAAGUAUUGGGAAGGACUCAAAACAUCAGUUUUGGAACUAUCACGGACUUUAGACCUGCUAACGAUUUACAACUUUUGUUGUCGUUAAUAAUUUUUUUUUUUUUUUUUUUUUUUUUUUUUUUUUUUUUUUUUUAAGACGGAGUCUCUCUCUAUCACCCAGGCUGGAGUACAGUGGCACGAUCUCCGCUCACCGGAACCUCCACCUCCCAAGUACAAGCGAUUCUUCUGCCUCAGUCUCCCAAGUAGCUGGGAUUACAGGCAUGCACCACCACACCUGGCUACUUUUCAUAUUUUUUAGUAGAAAUGGGGUUUUGCCAUGUUGACCAGGCUGGUCUUGAACUCCUGACUUCAGGUGAUCCGCCCGCCUUGGCCUCCCAAAGUGCUGGGAUUACAGGCAUGAGGCACCAUGCCUGGCCCAUUAAUCAUAUAUGAAUCAUUCUCUCAGGACCAAGACUAAAGUUGGAUUCAAGCAACCACACCAGGGAAAGGAUCAUCGGACAGGCUUUUAGUUCCUUCCUGCCAGUCAUUACUGCAUGAAGUUCCUGUUGGUUUGUGAAAGAGGGGAUGGGAAUGAGUGGAGUCCCCCUGUUCCUCUCUAAAGAAGAGUUAGGAGUUGGCUCCAAAGGAAGCAGUAAAAUCUCUGGGUCCUUCUUUUUUUAUGUACCACCGGAUACACAAAUGGGGCAAGGAGAAAACAAUAUGGCCAUCUCCCCUUGGGCAACACACAUUAUUCUCCUUUACUGGGCGUGCAGCAGAAAUACAAAAUGCAGCUUUAUUCAGAGGACUGGGGAAUACAUUCUUGAGGCCAGAGGCUCUGGCAGGAAAAUCAUCAAACAGCAAGCAACGCCUUUUCAUCUGUGGCAGAAGAAGAGUUUUAAGUGAUGCAAAAGCCAUGUAGUAUUUAAGUAAUAACAUCUUCUCAUUCUUCCAUUCCAUGGCCUUUCUUUGUCUGAUGUUACUAUUUCUGAUCUUAAUGAAUGUGCCUUUUUUAGUUUUAUUUUUGUAAUUUUCUUUAUAUCUCUUUUGAAGUAGACAAUAUAAAUAUCAAUCUAUGAAACAUUCUCUUCAAUGAUGUUCUAAAAUAUGAGCAGCACUUUACAAUAUGAUACUAGCACAUCAGAAAUGAACUAAAUGAUAUUUGGAAUGAGAUUUCUAGAUGACUUUUUAAACAUCUUGAAGCCAAAAAUUUAAAUCCCAUUGUGUGUGUAUGUGUUUGUGUUUUAAUGACUUGAGAUACAAUUCACAUAGUUUACCCACUGAAAAUGUAGAAUUCAAUAUUUUUGUACAUUCACAGGAUUAUGCAACCAUCACUACAAACUAAUUUUAGUUUCCCUUCCACUAGCAGAAGCCCCAAAUCCAUUAGUUUUCACUUCCCCUCUUACUCACCCACAACCCCCAGCCCCAAACAACCACUAAUUUGCCUUCUGUCUCUAUAGAUUUGCCUAUUCAGAACAUUUAUAUAAAUGAAAUUAUAUAAUGUGUAGUCUUUUAUGACUGGUUUCUUUCAUUUAACAUGCUUUUAAGGUUCAUCCAUGUUGUAGCAUGCAUCAAUGCUUUAUUCCUUUUUAUAGCCAAAUAAUAUUGCAUUGCAAGGAUAUACCACAUUUGAUCUAUCCAUUCAUCACUCUGUGGACAUUUGGGUGUUUCCAC
rnacentral:lncRNA from 1 species